rnacentral:rRNA from 1 species
UACGGAGGGUGCAAGCGUUAUCCGGAUUUAUUGGGUUUAAAGGGUCCGUAGGCGGAUCUGUAAGUCAGUGGUGAAAUCUCGCAGCUUAACUGUGAAACUGCCAUUGAUACUGCAGGACUUGAGUAAGGUAGAGGUAGCUGGAAUAAGUAGUGUAGCGGUGAAAUGCAUAGAUAUUACUUAGAACACCAAUUGCGAAGGCAGGUUACCAUGUCUUAACUGACGCUGAUGGACGAAAGCGUGGGGAGCGAACAGG